rnacentral:rRNA from 1 species
ACCGAAGGUCGAAGGGAGAAAUUCAUUCGCGUUUCGCCGUUGGCGCUGAACGGUGCGUGUGACGGAUUAUUCGUUCGCGGAUUUUUCGCGCCCAUCGUUUUGCGAUCACCGACGGCGAACGCGUGCACUUUUCUCCUGGUAGGACGUCGCGAUCCGUCGGGCGUCGGUCUACGGCUCGCGGUGGAGCCCGUUCGUCUAUUUUACGAUAGUUUUCGAACGGACCCGCGUGUUUCCCGGCCGGCCUGCUCGACGGUAAACGAACGGUUCGAGACCGCUCUUUUUAAUGAGCGUCCGACUCGUGACAAGCGCGCCAGACGCGUCGAAGAUCGGACCUCGUGCCGAUCCCGACCUCUGGUGACUGUUGGUCGCGAAGUUCUUGGACAGAUCUCCGAAACCGAUCUGCGACGCUAUAGCUUUGGGUACUUUCAGGACCCGUCUUGAAACACGGACCAAGGAGUCUAGCAUGUACGCGAGUCAUUGGGAUUGUACUAAACCUAAAGGCGCAAUGAAAGUAAAAAUUUUCCUAGCGAAAAUCGAGGGAAGACGGGCGGUUUUACGUUUUAUAAGCGGCCGCCUCGCAUUCCCGGGGCGUCUCGUUCUCAUCGCGAGAAGAGGCGCACCAAGAGCGUACACGCUGGGACCCGAAAGAUGGUGAACUAU